AGCAGCCGCGGUAAUUCCAGCUCCAAUAGCGUAUAUUAAAGUUGUUGCAGUUAAAAAGCUCGUAGUUGAAUUUCGGGAUCAGUACGCCGGUCGUGCCUUCGGUAUGCACUGGUGUCACUGGUUUCUCCCUUCUGAAGAACCAUCAUGCCAUUCAGUUGGUGUGGCGGGGAAUCAGGACUGUUACUUUGAAAAAAUUAGAGUGUUUAAAGCAGGCUCGCGCUUGAAUACAUUAGCAUGGAAUAAUGAAAUAGGACGUUUGACCCUAUUUUGUUGGUUUCUAGGAUCGACGUAAUGAUUAAUAGGGAUAGUUGGGGCAUUAGUAUUCAAUUGUCAGAGGUGAAAUUCUUGGAUUUAUUGAAGACUAACUACUGCGAAAGCAUUUGCCAAGGAUGUUUUCAUUAAUCAAGAACGAAAGUUAGGGGAUCGAAGACGAUCAGAUACCGUCGUAGUCUUAACCAUAAACUAUGCCGACUAGGGAUCGGAUGAUGUUAAUUUUUUCAAUGACUCAUUCGGCGCCUUA
rnacentral:misc_RNA from 1 species